GAGACACCCUUAUGGGGCAGGACUUGCUUCAGUGGGGCUUUGGUGCUCACUGAGUCUGCCCCUUGAGUGUAUCUCU
rfam:Myotis brandtii contig195441, whole genome shotgun sequence.